rnacentral:rRNA from 1 species
UACGAAGGGGACUAGCGUUGUUCGGAAUUACUGGGCGUAAAGCGCACGUAGGCGGACUUUCAAGUCAGGGGUGAAAUCCCGGGGCUCAACCUCGGAACUGCCUUUGAUACUGUGAGUCUUGAGUUCGAUAGAGGUGGGUGGAAUUCCUAGUGUAGAGGUGAAAUUCGUAGAUAUUAGGAAGAACACCGGUGGCGAAGGCGGCCCACUGGAUCGACACUGACGCUGAGGUGCGAAAGCGUGGGGAGCAAACAGG